UUAAGCGACUAAGCGUACACGGUGGAUGCCCUGGCAGUCAGAGGCGAUGAAGGACGUGCUAAUCUGCGAAAAGCGUCGGUAAGGUGAUAUGAACCGUUAUAACCGGCGAUGUCCGAAUGGGGAAACCCAGUGCAAUUCGUUGCACUAUCGUUAACUGAAUACAUAGGUUAACGAGGCGAACCGGGGGAACUGAAACAUCUAAGUACCCCGAGGAAAAGAAAUCAACCGAGAUUCCCCCAGUAGCGGCGAGCGAACGGGGAGCAGCCCAGAGUCUGAAUCAGCUUGUGUGUUAGUGGAACGGUCUGGAAAGUCCGACGGUACAGGGUGAUAGUCCCGUACACCAAAAUGCACAGGUUGUGAACUCGAAGAGUAGGGCGGGACACGUGGUAUCCUGUCUGAAUAUGGGGGGACCAUCCUCCAAGGCUAAAUACUCCUGACUGACCGAUAGUGAACCAGUACCGUGAGGGAAAGGCGAAAAGAACCCCGGCGAGGGGAGUGAAAAAGAACCUGAAACCGUGUACGUACAAGCAGUGGGAGCACCUUCGGGUGUGACUGCGUACCUUUUGUAUAAUGGGUCAGCGACUUAUAUUCUGUAGCAAGGUUAACCGUAUAGGGGAGCCGCAGGGAAACCGAGUCUUAACUGGGCGUUAAGUUGCAGGGUAUAGACCCGAAACCCGGUGAUCUAGCCAUGGGCAGGUUGAAGGUUGGGUAACACUAACUGGAGGACCGAACCGACUAAUGUUGAAAAAUUAGCGGAUGACUUGUGGCUGGGGGUGAAAGGCCAAUCAAACCGGGAGAUAGCUGGUUCUCCCCGAAAGCUAUUUAGGUAGCGCCUCGUGAAUUCAUCUUCGGGGGUAGAGCACUGUUUCGGCUAGGGGGGCAUCCCGACUUACCAACCCGAUGCAAACUACGAAUACCGAAGAAUGUUAUCACGGGAGACACACGGCGGGUGCUAACGUCCGUCGUGAAGAGGGAAACAACCCAGACCGCCAGCUAAGGUCCCAAAGUCAUGGUUAAGUGGGAAACGAUGUGGGAAGGCACAGACAGCCAGGAUGUUGGCUUAGAAGCAGCCAUCAUUUAAAGAAAGCGUAAUAGCUCACUGGUCGAGUCGGCCUGCGCGGAAGAUGUAACGGGGCUAAACCAUGCACCGAAGCUGCGGCAGCGACACUAUGUGUUGUUGGGUAGGGGAGCGUUCUGUAAGCCUGCGAAGGUGUGCUGUGAGGCAUGCUGGAGGUAUCAGAAGUGCGAAUGCUGACAUAAGUAACGAUAAAGCGGGUGAAAAGCCCGCUCGCCGGAAGACCAAGGGUUCCUGUCCAACGUUAAUCGGGGCAGGGUGAGUCGACCCCUAAGGCGAGGCCGAAAGGCGUAGUCGAUGGGAAACAGGUUAAUAUUCCUGUACUUGGUGUUACUGCGAAGGGGGGACGGAGAAGGCUAUGUUAGCCGGGCGACGGUUGUCCCGGUUUAAGCAUGUAGGCUGGUUAUCCAGGCAAAUCCGGAUAAUCAAGGCUGAGGUGUGAUGACGAGGCACUACGGUGCUGAAGUAACAAAUGCCCUGCUUCCAGGAAAAGCCUCUAAGCAUCAGGUAACAUCAAAUCGUACCCCAAACCGACACAGGUGGUCAGGUAGAGAAUACCAAGGCGCUUGAGAGAACUCGGGUGAAGGAACUAGGCAAAAUGGUGCCGUAACUUCGGGAGAAGGCACGCUGGUGUGUAGGUGAAGUCCCUGCGGAUGGAGCUGAGACCAGUCGAAGAUACCAGCUGGCUGCAACUGUUUAUUAAAAACACAGCACUGUGCAAACACGAAAGUGGACGUAUACGGUGUGACGCCUGCCCGGUGCCGGAAGGUUAAUUGAUGGGGUUAUCCGUAAGGAGAAGCUCUUGAUCGAAGCCCCGGUAAACGGCGGCCGUAACUAUAACGGUCCUAAGGUAGCGAAAUUCCUUGUCGGGUAAGUUCCGACCUGCACGAAUGGCGUAAUGAUGGCCAGGCUGUCUCCACCCGAGACUCAGUGAAAUUGAACUCGCUGUGAAGAUGCAGUGUACCCGCGGCAAGACGGAAAGACCCCGUGAACCUUUACUAUAGCUUGACACUGAACAUUGAGCCUUGAUGUGUAGGAUAGGUGGGAGGCUUUGAAGCGUGGACGCCAGUCUGCGUGGAGCCAACCUUGAAAUACCACCCUUUAAUGUUUGAUGUUCUAACGUUGGCCCCUUACCGGGGUUGCGGACAGUGUCUGGUGGGUAGUUUGACUGGGGCGGUCUCCUCCCAAAGCGUAACGGAGGAGCACGAAGGUUAGCUAAUCCUGGUCGGACAUCAGGAGGUUAGUGCAAUGGCAUAAGCUAGCUUGACUGCGAGCGUGACGGCGCGAGCAGGUGCGAAAGCAGGUCAUAGUGAUCCGGUGGUUCUGAAUGGAAGGGCCAUCGCUCAACGGAUAAAAGGUACUCCGGGGAUAACAGGCUGAUACCGCCCAAGAGUUCAUAUCGACGGCGGUGUUUGGCACCUCGAUGUCGGCUCAUCACAUCCUGGGGCUGAAGUAGGUCCCAAGGGUAUGGCUGUUCGCCAUUUAAAGUGGUACGCGAGCUGGGUUUAGAACGUCGUGAGACAGUUCGGUCCCUAUCUGCCGUGGGCGCUGGAGAAUUGAGGGGGGCUGCUCCUAGUACGAGAGGACCGGAGUGGACGCAUCACUGGUGUUCGGGUUGUCAUGCCAAUGGCACUGCCCGGUAGCUAAAUGCGGAAGAGAUAAGUGCUGAAAGCAUCUAAGCACGAAACUUGCCCCGAGAUGAGUUCUCCCUGAGACUUUAAGUCUCCUGAAGGAACGUUAAAGACGAUGACGUUGAUAGGCCGGGUGUGUAAGCGCAGCGAUGCGUUGAGCUAACCGGUACUAAUGAACCGUGAGGCUUAACCUU
rnacentral:rRNA from 1 species